rnacentral:lncRNA from 1 species
UGGCCGAGAAGGAGACCUCCGUGGGGGUGCGAUAGCGGUGGUCUCUCGCCUGUCUUCUCUGUAGGACCCACGGGAUAGUCCCAUGAUCCUAAGAGAAGGCAGACAUGAGCCAGCCUGAAGAAACCUCAAGGAGAGCCCCAAGAGUAAAUCACGAAAUCCCUAAGAAUCCAAAAGGAUCUGCAGGACGCCUCAGGCCUGCCUACACGUUGUAGGGGUGAAGUUGCUGGAACCCAUUCUCCAUUCAGCAGAUUGUAUCCUCACCCCAUGUGACCUUAUUGCUGCUCAGACUCUAUGUUCCAGGAUAAAAUCCCAAGAAGAUGGAGAAGUGCAUCCCUCAUGAUGUGAAGCAUGUGCGCAGCUGGGAACCAAAUUCGAGAGCUCACAGUUUGAAUAGAAGAAUCCAAAGCUACAACAGCAGCAGCAGCUAUAGCUGUGACCGCUAUGAGGCCCGUGAUGACAGCUAUUAAGGGAGACUCACCACCAAGGGGAUUACCACCAUCGUAGCUACCAUUAGAUUACUGGUGGUCAGCAGCUUGUGCUGAGACCGCAGGUUCUCUUCUUCAGUGCGAGCUAGUCUCUUCAUCCGCCCCCAGGUCGGUGGAGUUGCUUGGUAAAGUUGAGGAACCCAAUCCAUCCCUCACCAGGUUGUAUCCUCACCAUUAUCUGACCUUAUUGCUGCUCACACUCUAUGUCCCAGGAUGAAAUACCAGGAUGAUGGAGUGCCCCCUCAUGACUUGAAGCACCUGCUUGGCUGGGAACUGAAUUUGAGAAUGAAAUCCCAAGACAAUGGAGGAGUGUCCCCUAAUGACAUUAAGCACGUGCUUGGCUGGGAACCGAAUUGGAGGGGAGGUAGUUUGGCCUCCGGCGGGUCUCAACCAGACUCUCAAUUCACUGCAGAUUCACGAUCCACAGAAGAAUAAAGAACACAGAGACCCACAGUCCAAGCAGAGCCACAGACACACAGGCGACCAGAAUGUUGAGUUACCGAAAAAAAAGAAGAGCUGCAAUGUGUUAGCCACUCUACUAUAAGCAGACUCCGCUUACAGACAUGCAUACCCACACAUACACCUGCAAAUACACAAAGCCACACAGUCAGGCAGACAUCCAACACUUGCAACACUCCAACAGAAACACAGCCCAGCAGCUCCUGAGGCUGAAUGGCUCUUCAGGAAGCCCCACAUGGGAGAGAGCAACCCCAGGGAACACAGGCGGGCUGUAUCUAGUAAUCACCGUGGGAUAAGUUUCAAAAAUACUCACCCUUACAAUGUCUAAUUAGGCCUGAGGCAUCCUGUAGAUCCUUAUGGAUCCUUAGGGAUUUUGAAGUUCAUUCCUGCGGCUCUGCUUGAUGUUUCUUCAGGCUGACUCACAUCUACCCACUCCUAGAUUCAUGGGACUGUCCUGUGGAUCUCUGAGACAAGACAGGCAAUAUUCCAUCGCCAACACACCUCCAGGGAGUUCUCCUUCUCUGUCAAGCCACAGGGACUUGUCACUAGGCAAUGGUGGCAUUCACUGUGAAGCUAGCAAUAGCUCCCUGCUCAGGACUGGUGCUUUGAGGCUAUCACAGGCGCAUUCAUGAGGCAGGCUUGGGUGCCUGGCUGUCAAAACUGUCAGCCUGCCUAAGCAGACAAAAGUGGUACAGGCAGAGCUAGACUGGUAUUGAGAAAAAGGCUGUCUGCAAUAACCUACUGUGGGACCCUAAAAGUCUUGACCUUAUUGACCCUCUGGGUCAUCUCGCUGGUCAGGUCCCGGUGGAGGAGGAGGUAUUUCGAGACUGUGAGGUGGUCGCUGGAGAUGGCUCUUCUGUCUCCACUCCUGAAAGAGUCUGUGUGCAAGAAUCAGGUCCGACGGGGAUUGGAAUAGAGUCUGGUGAGUAGUUGAGGGUUCUUUAUGUGAUGGAAUCAUACCUAAGACCUCAGAGAAUAAAAAUGGCUCAUCACUUUAC